AGGUUAAGCUACAAAGGGCGCAUGGCGAAUGCCUUGGCACUAGGAGCCGAAGAAGGACGCGUUAAGCUGCGAUAAGCUUUGGGUAGGCGCAAAUAGCCAGUGAUCCAAAGAUUUCCGAAUGGGGGAACCCACAUAGUAACAACUAUGUACUGCAUACUGAAUAAAUAGGUAUGCAGAGGUAGACCCGGGGAACUGAAACAUC
rnacentral:rRNA from 1 species